rnacentral:miRNA from 1 species
UUAAAAGAAGUCGCACUGGUAAGUGAGUAAUUGCGUGUUUUUUUAUUAAAUAAAAAAUAUGUGCAAAUGCCAAAUUUGCGCAGUUUUUAACACUGCAACCAAAUAUAU